UACGAAGGGGGCUAGCGUUGCUCGGAAUCACUGGGCGUAAAGCGCACGUAGGCGGCUUUUUAAGUCAGGGGUGAAAUCCUGGAGCUCAACUCCAGAACUGCCUUUGAUACUGGGAAGCUUGAGUCCGGGAGAGGUGAGUGGAACUCCGAGUGUAGAGGUGAAAUUCGUAGAUAUUCGGAGGAACACCUGCGGCGAAGGCGGGUUGCUGGGCUGAUACUGACGCUGAGGCGCGAAAGCCAGGGGAGCGAACGGG
rnacentral:rRNA from 1 species